GGUAUCAGGCAGCAAAGGUGAAACAAGACACAGACUCAAUGGGAACGUUUGAAAAGGUUUAUUUCAGAAUCCACCUGUCAGGGAGGAGGUGGAACCUCCCAUGAUGCUGCUGG